GAUACAAAAUAGUCCUCCCAAAAUAUAUAAAUUGCUCAGAGUAUAAGUUAUAAAUUUUUUUUUGUAAAAAAGCAUGAUUGACUCUAAAAUAUCGCAUCAUGAUCAUAUCUAUUUCUUGUUGGCAUUUUUUAUGGCCCAUAACCUCCCACCUAUCCUCUCAAUUUGAAUUUUAAAUUCAAAAUUCUCUAAAACUAUUGUCACUCCCUUAUCUAAAGAACUGCCCAACUGCUCCUGAUGGUGGAGCAGUUAUAUAUAUUGUGUCAUCUCUGAUUCUGGUCCCUAAGUACAACCCUAUCAAAAUUCACACCAUCUAAAGUUCACACCAUCUGAAGUGAAGUUGAGUGCUCAGAAGAUUCAUUGGAAAGCGACGCUGAUAACAUUAUUGAUGCCGACGUCAACUACAAACCCUCAACAAUGGCUAGAGCGUCUGGAAUGGUGAUUAUAAACUGGGUUUUACCUGGGUUGUUACACCCUGUUGAAUGAAGAAGACGACUAGUAUGUACUUUAAAACAAUGUGUGGACAUAAAGUGUUUUUCAAUUUUGAUGAUAUUCAUCACUUUACGUGUGAAGACUUUAUUACAGUGGGGACCAUCUUGUACUUCUCCUUUAAUUAUUUAUUUAAUAAAAGAUAACAAUAAAUUUAAAUGGCACAAUUUAGUGAAAUAUUAUACUAUAUGGGCUUGUUAUUCUGCAUCCUGCAUCCUGCAUAUUUCCUUGGUGUUAUCAAAGGAUUAUUUGCUAAGUUAUUGUAAUAUACUCAAGUUAUUUAAUUUGUGUAUUACUUUUACAUUAUUUUAUUGCCUAAUGUUUGAGCAAUAAAAAAUUGAUUUUAAUGUCUGAUAAUUCAUAUAGUUUUAUUGAAUGAAGAGUUACAACAAUUUUGAUUUAGUAAAAUUAUAUAUUAUUUUAGAAUCACAUAAUAAGAUUACAGACAUUAAAUUAGAACUAAUGUCUAAGUGAUCUAUAAUUGUUUAAUUGAAGAUUAGCCACAGCGUCCUUAAUUGAAUAAAUUUGUAAAGUUUAAGAUUACAUAAAGAAAAUUUAGACAUUAGAAUUGUAAUUGAUUAUGCACGAUAUAGUAGCUUAAGAACUUUUAUUAUUGGGUUGCAUAAUUAAUUAGGAUAAAAUAUUAAAUACUUUUCAUAAUUACCCACGGGGAUUGUGAAUGAGAUUUUAAUAGUUUUAUCGUCAAGAUAAAAUGUCAUGCUAGUAAACGAUGAUUCUAUCAUAAAGAAUGAGUCUAAUUGAAUUAAAAAUUUAGCCUAUAGGCAAUUUUUAUGUUAGUAGAUUCAAUUUUAUAUUAUUUGCCUCAAAUUUAUAAGCAUGUAUGUAUAUAUGUAUAUUUUUGCAGUUAUACAACCUGCAAAUUUCUCUAAUAUUUGUGAUAUUCCAGAGUUUAAUAGUGAGAACUAUAAGAUUUGUAAGAAAAGAAUUCUCCUUCACUUAGGGUGCAUGGACAUUGAUUAUGCUAUCAUAAAAGAUGAACCACAUAUUGAUGAAAUUAGCACUCAAGCUGAGAUUGCUCUUUAUGAACAAUGGGAGUGCUCUAACCAUUUGAGUGUUAUGUUCAUUAAACCAAAAUCUCUGUUGGUAUUCUUGGUUUUGCCGAACAACAUAACAAUGUCAAGGCAUUACUGAAGGCUAUUGAUGAACAAUUUGAGACUUCAGAUAAGGCACUUGCCAGCACCUUAAUUAUGAAAUUCUCAUCAAUGAGGCUCACCUAUGUGAGAGGUGUCAUGAAUACAUCAUGAAAAUACAAGACUUAGCGACUCAACUAAAGACUCUUGAGGUUGAAAUGUCUGAAAUUUUUCUUGUGCACUAUAUUUUGAAUACUCUGCCUGCAUAAUAUGGCCCCUUUAAGAUCUCCUAUAACACACAUAAGGAUAAAUGGUCUAUCAAUAAACUUAUAGUCAUGUGUGUUCAAGAGGAGGGUCGAUUAGUGAUGGAAACAGGAGAAAUUACACUCAUGACUACUCAAGGACAUAAGUCUCAUCAAGCUAAUAAAAGGUUGAAAAAAAAAGCUCCACUUGAUUCUGACGUCAAAAAAGAAUUCAAGUGUCGCAUCUGUAGAAAGAAGGGACACAUAAAGAAAGAUUGUGUCAGGUUUCAAUGAUGACUUGAGAAGAAAGGACUUAACAAACCUAUGGUAGCCGGUGAGAGCUGAGCAAAGCAUCUAUUAAGGAAACAAGAUGCAGUCGUGCGUACAAGCUAUUGGAACAUGCACUUUAGUUCUUAGUAGUGGUUUUAUUUUAGAGUUGGAAAAGACUUUUUAUGUUCCUAACAUUUCUAGGAAUUUAAUUUCAGUAUCAACACUUGUACCUUUGGGAUACUCCUUAUUUCUUGAAGGCCAUUCUAAUCUAUUUUAUAAAUCCAAACUUGUUGGAUAUGGUACACUAUCUAAUGGUCUUUUUUCUCUUGAUUUGUAAAAUAAUUCCACUCAUAAUGUUAUGCAUGUUCAAACUGGC